UGGGGAAUAUUGCACAAUGGGCGCAAGCCUGAUGCAGCCAUGCCGCGUGUAUGAAGAAGGCCUUCGGGUUGUAAAGUACUUUCAGCGGGGAGGAAGGGAGUAAAGUUAAUACCUUUGCUCAUUGACGUUACCCGCAGAAGAAGCACCGGCUAACUCCGUGCCAGCAGCCGCGGUAAUACGGAGGGUGCAAGCGUUAAUCGGAAUUACUGGGCGUAAAGCGCACGCAGGCGGUUUGUUAAGUCAGAUGUGAAAUCCCCGGGCUCAACCUGGGAACUGCAUUCGAAACUGGCAGGCUAGAGUCUUGUAGAGGGGGGUAGAAUUCCAGGUGUAGCGGUGAAAUGCGUAGAGAUCUAGAGGAAUACCGGUGGCGAAGGCGGCCCCCUGGACAAAGACUGACGCUCAGGUGCGAAAGCGUGGGGAGCAAACAGG
rnacentral:rRNA from 1 species